rnacentral:rRNA from 1 species
AGUGAACGCUGGCGGUAGGCCUAACACAUGCAAGUCGAACGGCAGCACAGUAAGAGCUUGCUCUUACGGUUGGCGAGUGGCGGACGGGUGAGGAAUACAUCGGAAUCUACUUUUUCGUGGGGGAUAACGUAGGGAAACUUACGCUAAUACCGCAUACGACCUACGGGUGAAAGCAGGGGAUCUUCGGACCUUGCGCGAUUGAAUGAGCCGAUGUCGGAUUAGCUAGUUGGCGGGGUAAAGGCCCACCAAGGCGACGAUCCGUAGCUGGUCUGAGAGGAUGAUCAGCCACACUGGAACUGAGACACGGUCCAGACUCCUACGGGAGGCAGCAGUGGGGAAUAUUGGCCAAUGGGCGCAAGCCUGAUCCAGCCAUACCGCGUGGGUGAAGAAGGCCUUCGGGUUGUAAAGCCCUUUUGUUGGGGAAGAAAAGCAGCAGGUUUAUACCCCGCUGUUCUGACGGUACCCAAAGAGUAAGCACCGGCUAACCUCGUG